GAAACAUUGUACUUCCGUCGCCCUCUUAAUAGCACGUGACUUCCUCCUUCUCGUUCUUUCCUCUCACGUUGGUGGAGCCGGUCGGACCAGAGCCUAUAGUAGAAUGGAGAAUCUUCAGAUGAUAUCGUUCAUAAAUGAACUCACAAUGAAAGAAGGCUUUGCUAAUCAUUUAGCAGGUCUUUGUGCAUUUAGGAACAGCUGGCUCAGGCUUUCACAUAGAAGAGGUGGUGACUUGGCCGGCACAUGAAAACUGCACUUGGUUUGCUACUGACAGGUGACAGCAUACCAAGUCAGCUCUUGCUCAUGGUUGGUGUAAGAGUGCCUUCUAAUUCAUGAGGUGGAAUGUGUCAAAAGUAAAGGUGUCAUUCUUCAAGUGAUGUGCCAAAUCCUUAGAGGUGUGUUCACUGGGGAGAGUUCAGCUUGCAGCAUCAAAAAGAAGAGCUAUUGUGAUGUCCUACUUCACAAAUUAAGCCAUUGCAAUGAUAACAAUUUUUAUUGCAUUAAAAAGAUGUUAAAAUGUU